AAUUGACAUUAAUCCAUAAUAUUGUUUCUACAAAAGCAUGGCUAACAAGGGAGUUUCGGUUCUUCAAUUUGCAUUUUUUCUACUUCUUAUAGAAUUUGGACAUAUACAAUUGGGUUCGGUCGAGCCUGCAAUUAACCGGGUCGCACCUCGUGGUUCAAGUUGUGAGUGCAAAGAUCACCCUGAGCUUGGUGAAUGUAAACCGGGAGAAGAUGAUGAUAGACGUAGAAAUGGAAAAUGUUUUGAAUUAUGCACCUUUUAUGGAUGUGUUAAAUGGGGCACCUGCAGACCAGUUGGAAACACACAUGUCUGUCAUUGCAAUUGUUAGCAACUUACUUUUUACAUACGAAAAACUAAAUGAUGGAAAUCAAUGAUUUAAUUUAGUAAAAUUUCCAUAUAUUUUAUGAAUUACAAUGUAUGCUUUAAUUCUAUCUACGUGUAACGAAAAAAUGAUUGAUCGAUGUUAUUUCUUUUUAUUCA